rnacentral:rRNA from 1 species
UCCAGACUCCUACGGGAGGCAGCAGUGGGGGAUAUUGCACAAUGGGGGAAACCCUGAUGCAGCGACGCCGCGUGAGUGAAGAAGUAUUUCGGUAUGUAAAGCUCUAUCAGCAGGGAAGAAAAAAGACGGUACCUGACUAAGAAGCCCCGGCUAACUACGUGCCAGCAGCCGCGGUAAUACGUAGGGGGCAAGCGUUAUCCGGAUUUACUGGGUGUAAAGGGAGCGUAGACGGCAAUACAAGUCGGAAGUGAAAUACCCGGGCUUAACCUGGGAACUGCUUUGGAAACUGUAUGGCUGGAGUGCUGGAGAGGUAAGCGGAAUUCCUAGUGUAGCGGUGAAAUGCGUAGAUAUUAGGAGGAACACCAGUGGCGAAGGCGGCUUACUGGACAGUAACUGACGUUGAGGCUCGAAAGCGUGGGGAGCAAACAGGAUUAGAUACCCGCGUAGG